rnacentral:rRNA from 1 species
AAGUGCUGAAAGCAUCUAAGCACGAAACUUGCCCCGAGAUGAGUUCUCCCUGACUCCUUGAGAGUCCUGAAGGAACGUUGAAGACGACGACGUUGAUAGGCCGGGUGUGUAAGCGCAGCGAUGCGUUGAGCUAACCGGUACUAAUGAACCGUGAGGCUUAACCUUACAACGCCGAAGCUGUU